AUGCGGAGGCGCAAGAAGUUGAAGCUACCAUCUCCACCCUGUUCUGUUCCGCCACCUGAGCCUGUCCAGCUGUCAGAAAGGGACAUCCAUUUAUCUGUCAUGAAAGUUGUUGUAGAAGAGCUUGGGAUCCGUGUGGCUGACAAGGGCACCGGUGAGGUCAUUCGACCCUCAACUGGUACUAAACAGGUUCCACGCAGAGCACCCUGCAAACAAGUUGGUACACUUGAGGCGUCAUCCAGUAUCCCAAAGUCUAGGAAGUCAAGUGGAAUUAAUGCCACUAAAAAGGUGCGGUUUACCAAGACUAGGUCUUCUCCUCGACUAAGAGCAGCAUCUUCACAGCCGAUAGAGGUUGUGGAUCUUGAAGAUCAGCCCACGUUGACAUCUCCUGUUGUCGGUUCACAACCUAUUGUGAUGGGCUCUUCGCCAGCGUCCGUCGAAGCAGCAGCUGCUCCCGAAGUUGCAUCUGAUGUUGUUGAAUCUGUAGAACAACUGGCUACAGUGGCCACCGUCACUGCUGUUGUUGAAGAGCUUGCCACUGCAGCUGUUAAUGAUGAAAUUGAUGCUGAUGAAACUCCUGUCGCGGACACUGCUCAACAUGUUACUGAACCCGUCACCGAAGCUGCCCAAGUGUCCAUGCCCCCUGAAGCCGGAGUGGCUGUUGAUGCAGGAAAAACAGCUCCAGUCCCAGCUGUCAAUUCUGAUGCUCAAGAUGAAAUUGCUGAACUUCAAGUUGCGGAUGAUUCCAAGAAUGUCCAAUUGCAUCACCAAGUUCAAGCUGAAGACGUUAUUGUUACUCCAGAAGCUGCAAGUGAUGAUGUUGUAUUUAGAGUUGAUGGUGAUUUCACCCCACCAAGCUGCUCUCUCGGACUUGGCUCCAUUUUUGGUGUGACGCUUGAAGCUCCACCAGUGGCAGCUAUGGUUUAG
rnacentral:rRNA from 1 species